UACGUAGGGUGCGAGCGUUAAUCGGAAUUACUGGGCGUAAAGUGUGCGCAGGCGGCCGCGCAAGUCGAGUGUGAAAGCCCCGGGCUUAACUUGGGAAUUGCGCUCGAAACUACGUGGCUGGAGUGUGGCAGAGGAAGGUGGAAUUCCAGGUGUAGCGGUGAAAUGCGUAGAGAUCUGGAGGAACACCGAUGGCGAAGGCGGGUCUCUGGGCAUCUCCUGACGCUGAGGCGCGAAAGCGUGGGGAGCAAACGGG
rnacentral:rRNA from 1 species